rnacentral:misc_RNA from 1 species
GUAGGUGAACCUGCGGAAGGAUCAUUAUUGAAUAAACUUGCAGGCUGUUUGCUGGUCUUUCUUAAAGACAUGUGCACGCUUGUCAUCUUUAUUUCUCCAACUGUGCACACAUUGUAGACCUGGUUAUUUUGGAUUGUUCGAGUAAAAUUGAAUAGAUUGAGGAUUGCUGAGCUUUCUCAAAGACAGCUUUGCCUUGCAUUUCCAG